rnacentral:rRNA from 1 species
CAGUAGCCGCGGUAAUACAGAGGGUGCAAGCGUUAAUCGGAAUUACUGGGCGUAAAGCGCGCGUAGGUGGUUUGUUAAGUUGGAUGUGAAAUCCCCGGGCUCAACCUGGGAACUGCAUCCAAAACUGGCAAGCUAGAGUAUGGUAGAGGGUGGUGGAAUUUCCUGUGUAGCGGUGAAAUGCGUAGAUAUAGGAAGGAACACCAGUGGCGAAGGCGGCUUACUGGCUCAUACUGGACGCUGAGGUGCGAAAGCGUGGGGAGCAAACAGGAUUAGAUACCCCCGUAGUCCCUGUCUCUUAUAC